rnacentral:rRNA from 1 species
AUUGAACGCUGGCGGCAUGCCUUACACAUGCAAGUCGAACGGCAGCAUGAUCUAGCUUGCUAGAUUGAUGGCGAGUGGCGAACGGGUGAGUAAUACAUCGGAACGUGCCCUGUAGUGGGGGAUAACUAGUCGAAAGAUUAGCCAAUACCGCAUACGACCUGAGGGUGAAAGUGGGGGACCGCAAGGCCUCAUGCUAUAGGAGCGGCCGAUGUCUGAUUAGCUAGUUGGUGAGGUAAAGGCUCACCAAGGCGACGAUCAGUAGCUGGUCUGAGAGGACGAUCAGCCACACUGGGACUGAGACACGGCCCAGACUCCUACGGGAGGCAGCAGUGGGGAAUUUUGGACAAUGGGCGAAAGCCUGAUCCAGCAAUGCCGCGUGUGUGAAGAAGGCCUUCGGGUUGUAAAGCACUUUUGUCCGGAAAGAAAUGGCUCUGGUUAAUACCUGGGGUCGAUGACGGUACCGGAAGAAUAAGGACCGGCUAACUACGUG